rnacentral:rRNA from 1 species
UUACGGGAGGCAGCAGUGGGGAAUUUUGGACAAUGGGCGCAAGCCUGAUCCAGCCAUGCCGCGUGCGGGAUGAAGGCCUUCGGGCUGUAAACCGCUUUUGUCAGGGUAGAAACGCUCAGGGCUAAUACCCUUGGGUAAUGACGGUACCUGAAGAAUAAGCACCGGCUAACUACGUGCCAGCAGCCGCGGUAAUACGUAGGGUGCAAGCGUUAAUCGGAAUUACUGGGCGUAAAGCGUGCGCAGGCGGCCAUUCAAGACAGAUGUGAAAUCCCCGGGCUCAACCUGGGAACUGCAUUUGUGACUGCAUGGCUCGAGUGCGGCAGAGGGGGAUGGAAUUCCGCGUGUAGCAGUGAAAUGCGUAGAUAUGCGGAGGAACACCGAUGGCGAAGGCAAUCCCCUGGGCCUGCACUGACGCUCAUGCACGAAAGCGUGGGGAGCAAACAGGAUUAGAUACCCCGGUAGUCC